rnacentral:rRNA from 1 species
UACGGAGGGGGCAAGCGUUGUCCGGAAUCAUUGGGCGUAAAGCGCGCGUAGGUGGCUAUGUAAGUCCGUUGUGAAAGUCAAAGGCUCAACCUUUGAAAGCCGAUGGAUACUGCAUAGCUAGAGUACGGAAGAGGCGAGUGGAAUUCCUGGUGUAGCGGUGGAAUGCGCAGAUAUCAGGAGGAACACCAAUAGCGAAGGUAGCUCGCUGGGACGUUACUGACACUGAGGCGCGAAAGCGUGGGGAGCGAACAGG